rnacentral:rRNA from 1 species
UACGUAGGGGGCAAGCGUUGUCCGGAAUCAUUGGGCGUAAAGAGCUUGUAGGCGGUUUGUCGCGUCUGCUGUGAAAUUUCGGGGCUCAACCCCGAACUUGCAGUGGGUACGGGCAGACUAGAGUGUGGUAGGGGAGACUGGAAUUCCUGGUGUAGCGGUGAAAUGCGUAGAUAUCGGGAGGAACACCAGUGGCGAAGGCGGCUUCCUGGCCUGUUCUUGACGCUGAGGCGCGAAAGCUAGGGGAGCAAACGGG